GGGCCAGUAGUUCAUCGGUAGAAUGCCUCAUUCGCAUUGAGGAGGUAGAGGGUUCAAUUCCCUCCUGGUCCACCA
rnacentral:tRNA from 3 species